rnacentral:rRNA from 1 species
AUUGAACGCUGGCGGCAUGCCUUACACAUGCAAGUCGAACGGUAACGGGCCUUCGGGUGCCGACGAGUGGCGAACGGGUGAGUAAUGUAUCGGAACGUACCUUUCAGUGGGGGAUAACGUAGCGAAAGUUACGCUAAUACCGCAUAUUCCGUGAGCAGGGAAGCAGGGGAUCGCAAGACCUUGCGCUGAUUGAGCGGCCGAAAUCAGAUUAGCUAGUUGGUGAGGUAAAGGCUCAGCAAGGCGACGGUCUGUAGCGGGUCUGCGAGGAUGAUCGGCCACACUGGAACUGAGACACGGUCCAGACUCCUACGGGAGGCAGCAGUGGGGAAUUUUGGACAAUGGGGGCAACCCUGAUCCAGUCAUGCCGCGUGAGUGAAGAAGGCCUUCGGGUUGUAAAGCUCUUUCGGCCGGGAAGAAAUCGUAUGGGUUAAUACCCUGUGCGGAUGACGGUACCGGCAUAAGAAGCACCGGCUAACUACGUGCCAGCAGCCGCAGUAAAAC